AUUAUACUUCCUCCGUUUCAAAUUACUUGUCGUAGAAAUGGAUGUAUCUAGAACUAAAAUACAUCUAGAUACAUUCAUACCUGCGACAAGUAAUUCUAAACGGAGGGAGUAUAUA
rnacentral:pre_miRNA from 1 species